GACGAACGCUGGCGGCGUGCUUAACACAUGCAAGUCGAACGCUGAACCCGCUUCGGUGGGGGAUGAGUGGCGAACGGGUGAGUAACACGUGGGCAACCUGCCCCCGGCUCUGGGAUAACUCCAAGAAAUUGGGGCUAAUACCGGAUGUGACCGCUGGCCGCAUGGUCUGGUGGUGGAAAGGGUUUCCGGCUGGGGAUGGGCCCGCGGCCUAUCAGCUUGUUGGUGGGGUAGUGGCCUACCAAGGCGACGACGGGUAGCCGGCCUGGGAGGGUGACCGGCCACACUGGGACGGAGACACGGCCCAGACUCCUACGGGAGGCAGCAGUGGGGAAUAUUGCGCAAGGGGCGGAAGCCUGACGCAGCGACGCCGCGUGGGGGAUGACGGCCUUCGGGUUGUAAACCUCUUUCAGCAGGGACGAAGCGCAAGUGACGGUACCUGCAGAAGAAGCACCGGCCAACUACGU
rnacentral:rRNA from 1 species